UAUCUAAAACUGGAAAUGUCGCCGAGGACAGCAGGCCAACGGAGCUCCUGGACCGGCUGGAACACAGUGGGCAAGGAUGCAGUGUGUUUGGUGGCCUCCCCUACCCCCUGCGCACGUUGAUUCUCAGGAGCGGAGGUUCACACCCGAGCGCCGAAGGGCUGCCCCGGAGAAGUGACGGCGAAGGGAACCGGAGGACUGUCCACACACAUCCAUCUGCUUAGAAGACUGUUUCCUGGAACCAUUUUACAACCCUGUGCGCAACUGAUCUGAUCGACAGGCAAAUGCUGCCCUCUCUGCUGGAGGCUCAAAUAACCCAGGACUCCCCACGUUGCAGAAAAAAGCAGUUUUUGCCUCCAUUUUCAUAUUCAUUCUGUAUACCUGACCUGUAAAUGAGUCUGCUGUUUAGAUUUUCCUUUUGAACCAGUUGUAACAUCUUCCUAGUCCUCUUUGAGUUAAUAAAACCUUUAACACGUGUUCAUUUUUA